AAAUGUUUAAGCCUAUCCCCAUUCUCUUUCUGCCCGUUUAUCCUUUUUUUGUUUGUUACUGGGCAACCAGUAGGAUCCUUUCUAUAGAGGCCAUCUUGGAUUCGAUAUGGCUGGUAUUGCUGGUAUUUCCCCACCCAAAAGAGGACCUGAGCCCUAGGACCAUGCCUCAGGACUACCUGGCAUGAUGACUCCUUGCUGUCCCCAGUCCACCUGGCCGUGCUACUGCUCCAGUUUCAACUGUUCUGCCUGUGAUUAUUAUUAUUUGACCAUGCUGGUCAUUUAUGAACAUUUGAACAUCUUGGCCAUGUUCUGUUAUAAUCUCCACCCGGCACAGCCAGAAGAGGACUGGCCACCCCACAUAGCCUGGUUCCUCUCUAGGUUUCUUCCUAGGUUUUGGCCUUUCUAGGGAGUUUUCCUAGCCACUGUGCUUCUACACCUGCAUUGCUUGCUGUUUGGGGUUUUAGACUGGGUUUCUGUACAGCACUUUGAUAUAUCAGCUGAUGUAAGAAGGGCUAUAUAAAUACAUUUGAUUUGAUUUGACUGUGUUCUUGGGGACCUUCAAUGCUGCAGAAAUGUUUUGGUACCCUUCCCCAGAUCUGUGCCUCAACACAAUCCUGUCUCGGAGCUCUACGGACAAUUCCUUCAACCUUAUGGCUUGGUUUUUACUCUGACAUAACCUGUUAACUGUGGGACCUUAUAUAGACAGGUAUGUGCCUUAGCAAAUCAUGUCAAACCAAUUGAAUUUACCACAGGUGGACUCCAAUCAAGUUGUAGAAACAUCUAAAGGAUAAUCAAUAGAAACAGUAUGCAC
ensembl:lncRNA